rnacentral:rRNA from 1 species
UACGUAGGGGGCGAGCGUUAAUCGGAAUUACUGGGCGUAAAGCGUGCGCAGGCGGUUUUGCAAGCCGGAUGUGAAAUCCCCGGGCUUAACCUGGGAAUGGCAUUCGGGACUGCAAGGCUGGAGUGCGGCAGAGGAGACUGGAAUUCCUGGUGUAGCAGUGAAAUGCGUAGAUAUCAGGAGGAAUACCGAUGGCGAAGGCAGGUCUCUGGGCUGACACUGACGCUCAUGCACGAAAGCGUGGGGAGCAAACAGG